GCCGCCGGGAGCGCCCCCCGCCCCAGAAAUGAGCCAUUUACGGGGAUUUUGGCGUCUUCUUGCAAAUCAAAAAAAAAAAAAAGAUGGUGCGAGGAAAACAAUACGGGUAUAUCUGGGCUGGAAGGCUCCUGGAGGGGCAGGCAGCGCUGAGCGGGCUCCCGACGGCUUGGGCCGCGCCGCCGCCCCGGCUCCCCCGCGCCCGGGGCAGGGCGUCCCGUGGCGGGGCGGGCGAGGCUGCCGGGAGAGCUGCUCGCCCUCUGCGCCUCCGGGCCGCCGCAGGAGCCAGGCAGAACUGAGAUGCUGAGUGUGACAGAGACAUCUCCCAAAGAGGAAUUUCAGAAUUCUGUUCUGCAGCCGUGACGCUGACAACAUUCAGAGUUGGUGAAGACGGCUAACUACAACCCACACAGACAGACAGUGAAGACUGCACACUCCACCAAGAGACCAGGACACAGGCCACAGAUUUUCACAAGGAUAUCAUAAGAAGAAAGUGUUAUAAAAAUCAGUCAUGGAUUCACCAUGUGACACGAUGGCCUGCAUCACUCCCCUCCAUUAAUCCCUAUCCUGCAUCCCUGAGCUGUAGUUGUAGAACCUCAUCCAUUACUGCCAUGCUAUGGGUUCACCUUAGUGCCUCAAUUCAGGGUGCUGGAUGCUGCAGAAGCAAACAUAUGCUGGAGACUUGCCUGUGUAACACAGGACCUAGCAUCCUUUGAGAGUUCCCUUUGGACUGUGCAUACCUCUGAGGGGAAUGAAAAAGGUUUGUUGCAAAAGUUUGUGCCGAUUUGGUAAAGAGGACUAAUUGGGGUGAGUCACUGGUAAGACUUCAACAUUGUGAGUUGGAACAAAAAUCUCAGUGGAAAAGUACAAGAAUUAUUUAAAUGUUUUAAAUUAUAAUUUGUCAUGAAGAAAAAGACAACAUUUCAUCCAAAGGCAAUUUUACAGGAGUGAUUGCUCUGACAUGAGCAGCAGACAAUAAAGGAGAUGCCAGCCCAGGAAAAUGUGUGUGGAGUCAUUGGCAGGACACGCAUGGGAAGAUAAAAACUAAAAAUCCAAGUGAACUCUCUGGCAUAACAGCAGACAAUAUUGCAGCUGAUGACAAUAAAGUUCCCACACUAAUACUUCAGUAGGAAAAGGUGCCAAUAAAGACCUUACUGAAAAGCACACAGAAUCAGAGCUUGAUCUGUAUUUAGAACAACUGAGUUUCAGAGCAUGCAUGGAGUUGUGACCUGAGGACACUUUUUCCAACAGAGAACAGAAAUCCAGACUAACUGCAUUAUUAGACACUGGGGACUUGUAAAAAUGGAGGCUGAGACAGCAAAGCAAACUCCUCAGUCAAACUCAGUGCUGUCAAAUCCAUCUCAUCCUGGAAUGAGAGCUGGUACUAAACUUCAUGGGGAUUCUGAGUUUCCUGGAAACUGCAGAUGUGUAUUUUUUACAGUAAUUGCUAUAAAGUAAUCCUUUAAUUUUCUUGCAACAUCCUCUUAAUGCUCUCUGCAGACUCAUCAGCCUUCACUGGUUGUUAUCCCUGACCUGAUCCAUUAGAUCGACUCGUAUUACAGCACUGGUCUUCAUUUUAUAUUACACAAAUAGGGUCAGGCAAAUGCAAACAUGAAAUGUGCAGUGUCAGAAAUAUGCAACUGUAAACGUAUUUUUGUUGGGCAAAAUAUGCAAAUACCUAAACAAAUGGAGGAAUAUAUAGCCCUCCUAUUGAAGGUCUUAGGCUUUCAAAUAUGGAGAAUUCCGAAAUUGUCAGCGGAAGGAACAGAAUUGCAAAAAGCACAGAAAAUAAUCACAUGCUUGUCACAUUGUCACAGCCCACCACCUACUGCACUUCGGAGCAGCAGAUUGUGAUGGGGCCAAACUUUUUAGCAAUGCCUGUUGUAGUAAAGAACAAAGGAACAAAGGACAAUGGUUCAAAAGGAGGGCCGAUUUAGAUUAGAUAAAAGGACGUUUUUAUGAUGAGGGUGGUGAAGCACUGCAACAGGUUGGCCAGAAAGGCAGUGAACGUCCCAUCCCUGGAAACAUUCAGGGUGGGCACGCUGGUCUAGUAGAAACUGCAGGGGAUUGGGCUCGAGGGGCUUUAAAGCUCCCUUCCAAGGCAAAUGCUCAGUGCCCGGUGAUGACGGGCCCUUCCCCGGCGCCCGGUGCCGGCCGCUCUCCCCCGG